rnacentral:rRNA from 1 species
GAACGCUGGCGGCGUGCCUAAUACAUGCAAGUCGAGCGAGCAGACGAGGAGCUUGCUCCUCUGACGUUCGCGGCGGACGGGUGAGUAACACGUGGAUAACCUACCUAUAAGACUGGGAUAACUUCGGGAAACCGGAGCUAAUACCGGAUAAUAUAUUGAACCGCAUGGUUCAAUAGUGAAAGACGGUUUUGCUGUCACUUAUAGAUGGAUCCGCGCCGCAUUAGCUAGUUGGUAAGGUAACGGCUUACCAAGGCAACGAUGCGUAGCCGACCUGAGAGGGUGAUCGGCCACACUGGAACUGAGACACGGUCCAGACUCCUACGGGAGGCAGCAGUAGGGAAUCUUCCGCAAUGGGCGAAAGCUUGACGGAGCAACGCCGCGUGAGUGAUGAAGGUCUUCGGAUCGUAAAACUCUGUUAUUAGGGAAGAACAAAUGUGUAAGUAACUAUGCACGUCUUGACGGUACCUAAUCAGAAAGCCACGGCUAACUACGUG